rnacentral:rRNA from 1 species
CUGGCUCAGGAUGAACGCUAGCGGCAGGCCUAAUACAUGCAAGUCGAACGGUAAGGCUCCUUCGGGAGUACACGAGUGGCGCACGGGUGCGUAACGCGUAUGCAACCUACCCUUUAGUGGGGGAUAGCCUGAAGAAAUUCAGAUUAAUACCCCAUAUUAUCCAGUCAUUGCAUAUUGAUUGGAUGAAAACUCCGGUGCUAAGGGAUGGGCAUGCGUGACAUUAGCUAGUUGGUGAGGUAAAGGCUCACCAAGGCUACGAUGUCUAGCUGGUCUGAGAGGAUGAUCAGCCACACUGGCACUGAGACACGGGCCAGACUCCUACGGGAGGCAGCAGUAGGGAAUAUUGGACAAUGGGCGCAAGCCUGAUCCAGCCAUGCCGCGUGGAGGAAGACGGUCCUCUGGAUUGUAAACUUCUUUUCUGGGGGACUAACUAUGUGCUAUAGGCACAUUUGCAGGUACCUUAGGAAUAAGCACCGGCUAACUACGUGCCAGCAGCCGCGGUAACACGUAGGGUGCAAGCGUUGUCCGGAUUUAUUGGGUUUAAAGGGUGCGCAGGCGGUUUGUUAAGUUUGUGGUGAAAGCGUCCCGCUUAACGGGAUACCCGCCAUGGAUACUGGCAGACUUGAGUAUGUCUGAGGGAAUUAGAAUGCGUGGUGUAGCGGUGAAAUGCAUAGAUAUCACGCAGAAUACCGAUUGCGAAGGCAGAUUUCUAAGACAUAACUGACGCUGAGGCACGAAAGCGUGGGGAGCGAACAGGAUUAGAUACCCUGGUAGUCCACGCUGUAAACGAUGAUCACUAGGUGUUCGUCCUUCGGGAUGAGUGCCCAAGCGAAAGCGAUAAGUGAUCCACCUGGGGAGUACGUUCGCAAGAAUGAAACUCAAAGGAAUUGACGGGGGCCCGCACAAGCGGUGGAGCAUGUGGUUUAAUUCGAUGAUACGCGAGGAACCUUACCUGGGCUAGAAUGCCUCUGACAGCCGGUGAAAGCUGGUUUUCCUUCGGGACAGAGUGCAAGGUGCUGCAUGGUUGUCGUCAGCUCGUGCCGUGAGGUGUUGGGUUAAGUCCCGCAACGAGCGCAACCCCUGUCCCUAGUUGCCAUCACUUCGGGUGGGGACUCUAGGGAGACUGCCUCCGCAAGGAGCGAGGAAGGCGGGGAUGACGUCAAAUCAUCAUGGCCCUUACGCCCAGGGCGACACACGUGCUACAAUGGACGGUACAGCGGGUAGCCAACUUGCAAAAGUCAGCCAAUCCCAAAAAGCCGUUCUCAGUUCGGAUUGGAGUCUGCAACUCGACUCCAUGAAGCCGGAAUCGCUAGUAAUCGUGGAUCAGCCAUGCCACGGUGAAUACGUUCCCGGGCCUUGUACACACCGCCCGUCAAGCCAUGGAAGCUGGGGGCACCUGAAGUCGGGGGUAACAACCCGCCUAGGGUGAAACUGUACUGGGGCUAAGUCGU